rnacentral:rRNA from 1 species
UACGAAGGGGGCUAGCGUUGUUCGGAAUUACUGGGCGUAAAGCGCACGUAGGCGGAUAUUUAAGUCAGGGGUGAAAUCCCGGGGCUCAACCCCGGAACUGCCUUUGAUACUGGGUAUCUCGAGUCCGAGAGAGGUGAGUGGAAUUCCGAGUGUAGAGGUGAAAUUCGUAGAUAUUCGGUGGAACACCAGUGGCGAAGGCGACUCGCUGGACUGAUACUGACGCUGAGGUGCGAAAGCGUGGGGAGCAAACAGG